CCUACGGGAGGCAGCAGUGGGGAAUUUUGGACAAUGGGCGCAAGCCUGAUCCAGCCAUUCCGCGUGCAGGAUGAAGGCCCUCGGGUUGUAAACUGCUUUUGUACGGAACGAAAAGGCUCUGGUUAAUACCUGGGGCUCAUGACGGUACCGUAAGAAUAAGCACCGGCUAACUACGUGCCAGCAGCCGCGGUAAUACGUAGGGUGCAAGCGUUAAUCGGAAUUACUGGGCGUAAAGCGUGCGCAGGCGGUGAUGUAAGACAGAGGUGAAAUCCCCGGGCUCAACCUGGGAACUGCCUUUGUGACUGCAUCGCUGGAGUACGGCAGAGGGGGAUGGAAUUCCGCGUGUAGCAGUGAAAUGCGUAGAUAUGCGGAGGAACACCGAUGGCGAAGGCAAUCCCCUGGGCCUGUACUGACGCUCAUGCACGAAAGCGUGGGGAGCAAACAGGAUUAGAUACCCUAGUAGUCCACGCCCUAAACGAUGUCAACUGGUUGUUGGGUCUUCACUGACUCAGUAACGAAGCUAACGCGUGAAGUUGACCGCCUGGGGAGUACGGCCGCAAGGUUGAAACUCAAAGGAAUUGACGG
rnacentral:rRNA from 1 species